rnacentral:tRNA from 1 species
GCUCGUUUGGCUCAGUGGAAGAGCAUCAGGCUGCAGACUGAAGGGUCCUGGGUUCAAUUCCAGUCAAGGGCA